rnacentral:rRNA from 1 species
AACGAACGCUGGCGGCAGGCUUAACACAUGCAAGUCGAACGAGAAGCCCGCAAGGGUUGUAAAGUGGCGGACGGGUGCGUAACACGUGGGUAAUCUACCCUAUGGCCUGGGAUAACCUGCCGAAAGGCGGGCUAAUACCGGAUAAGACCACGGCUCUGCGGAGCUGUGGGAAAAGACACGCAAGGGUCACCGUUUGAUGAGCCCGCGGCCUAUCACGUUAGUUGGUGAGGUAAUGGCUCACCAAGCCUACGACGGGUAGCUGGUCUGAGAGGACGACCAGUCACACUGGAACUGAGACACGGUCCAGACUCCUACGGGAGGCAGCAGUGGGGAAUAUUGCGCAAUGGGCGAAAGCCUGACGCAGCAACGCCGCGUGGGUGAUGUAGGCCUUCGGGUUGUAAAGCCCUGUCGCCCGGGACGAACAAGCUCGUGAAGAACGAGCCCUGACGGUACCGGGAGAGGAAGCACCGGCUAACUCUGUGCCAGCAGCCGCGGUAA